GCGGGCUGCACGUAGUAGUAGGCACCUCCAGUGUAGUAGUCGUCAUCGACGGUGGCGUCUGGCUCCAGGGCUCCAUCGUCUGGUCGCAGCAACCGGGUAAAGAAAGGGGGAAAAGGGGGAACAAGGCAACCGUGAGUACUCAUCCAAAGUACUCGCAAGCAAGGAGCUACACUACAUAUGCAUGGGUAUAUGUGUAAAGGGCCAUAUCAGUGGACUGAACUGCAGAAUGCCAGAAUAAGAGG
rnacentral:rRNA from 1 species